CGGAAAGACCCCGUGACCUUUACUACAGCUUGGUAUUGGUGUUCGGUGUGGCUUGUGUAGGAUAGGUGGGAGACUAUGAAGCGGGCACGCCAGUGUUCGUGGAGUCGUUGUUGAAAUACCACUCUGGUCACUCUGGAUGUCUAACUACGAACCGUAAUCCGGUUCUGGGACAGUGCCUGGUGGGUAGUUUAACUGGGGCGGUUGCCUCCCAAAGAGUAACGGAGGCGCCCAAAGGUUCCCUCAACCUGGUUGGCAAUCAGGUGUCGAGUGUAAGUGCACAAGGGAGCUUGACUGUGAGAGUGACGGCUCGAGCAGGGACGAAAGUCGGGACUAGUGAUCCGGCAGUGGCUUGUGGAAGCGCUGUCGCUCAACGGAUAAAAGGUACCUCGGGGAUAACAGGCUGAUCUUGCCCAAGAGUCCAUAUCGACGGCAUGGUUUGGCACCUCGAUGUCGGCUCGUCGCAUCCUGGGGCUGGAGUAGGUCCCAAGGGUUGGGCUGUUCGCCCAUUAAAGCGGUACGCGAGCUGGGUUUAGAACGUCGUGAGACAGUUCGGUCCCUAUCCGCUGCGCGCGUAGGAAAUUUGAGAAGAUCUGUCCCUAGUACGAGAGGACCGGGACGGACGAACCUCUGGUGUGUCAGUUGUUCUGCCAAGAGCACCGCUGAUUAGCUACGUUCGGAACGGAUAACCGCUGAAAGCAUCUAAGCGGGAAGCCGGCUUCAAGAUGAGAUUUCCAUCCCUUCGGGGGAGAGGCUCCCAGCUAGACUACUGGGUUGAUAGGCCGGAUGUGGAAGUGGGGACUAAAGACCCAUGGAGCUGACCGGUACUAAUAAGCCGAUAACUUGACAACACA
rnacentral:rRNA from 1 species